rnacentral:rRNA from 1 species
CCUACGGGAGGCAGCAGUGAGGAAUAUUGGUCAAUGGGCGUAAGCCUGAACCAGCCAAGUCGCGUGAGGGAUGAAGGUUCUAUGGAUCGUAAACCUCUUUUAUAAGGGAAUAAAGUGUGGGACGUGUCCUAUUUUGUAUGUACCUUAUGAAUAAGGAUCGGCGAACCCCGUGCCAGCAGCCGCGGUAAUACGGAGGAUCCGAUCGUUAUCCGGAUUUAUUGGGUUUAAAGGGUGCGUAGGCGGCCUUUUAAGUCAGCGGUGAAAGUCUGUGGCUCAACCCGAGAAUUGCCGUUGAAACUGGGAGGCUUGAGUCUGUUUGAGGCAGGCGGAAUGCGUGGUGUAGCGGUGAAAUGCUUAGAUAUCACGCAGAACCCCGAUUGCGAAGGCAGCCUGCCAAGCAAUGACUGACGCUGAUGCGCGAAAGCGUGGGGAUCAAACAGGAUUAGAUACCCUUGUAGUC